rnacentral:rRNA from 1 species
AUUGAACGCUGGCGGCAUGCCUUACACAUGCAAGUCGAACGGCAGCACGGGUGCUUGCACCUGGUGGCGAGUGGCGAACGGGUGAGUAAUACAUCGGAACAUGUCCUGUAGUGGGGGAUAGCCCGGCGAAAGCCGGAUUAAUACCGCAUACGAUCUACGGAUGAAAGCGGGGGACCUUCGGGCCUCGCGCUAUAGGGUUGGCCGAUGGCUGAUUAGCUAGUUGGUGGGGUAAAGGCCUACCAAGGCGACGAUCAGUAGCUGGUCUGAGAGGACGACCAGCCACACUGGGACUGAGACACGGCCCAGACUCCUACGGGAGGCAGCAGUAGGGAAUUUUGGACAAUGGGCGAAAGCCUGAUCCAGCAAUGCCGCGUGUGUGAAGAAGGCCUUCGGGUUGUAAAGCACUUUUGUCCGGAAAGAAAUCCUUGGCUCUAAUACAGUCGGGGGAUGACGGUACCGGAAGAAUAAGCACCGGCUAACUACGUG